UACGUAGGUGGCAAGCGUUUGUCCGGAUUUAUUGGGGUUUUAAAAGGGGUGCGUAGGCGGCCCUGUAAGUCAGUGCUGAAAUAUCCCGGCUUAACCGGGGAGGGUGGCAUUGAUACUGCGGGGCUAGAGUACAGAUGAGGUAGGCGGAAUUGACGGUGUAGCGGUGAAAUGCUUAGAUAUCGUCAAGAACACCUAUAGCGAAGGCAGCUUAACUAGGCUGUAAACUGACGCUGAGGCACGAAAGUGUGGGGAGUCAAACAGGAUU
rnacentral:rRNA from 1 species